rnacentral:rRNA from 1 species
CCUACGGGAGGCAGCAGUGAGGAAUAUUGGUCAAUGGGCGUAAGCCUGAACCAGCCAAGUCGCGUGAGGGAUGAAGGUUCUAUGGAUCGUAAACCUCUUUUAUAAGGGAAUAAAGUGUGGGACGUGUCCGGUGUUGUAUGUACCUUAUGAAUAAGGAUCGGCUAACUCCGUGCCAGCAGCCGCGGUAAUACGGAGGAUCCGAGCGUUAUCCGGAUUUAUUGGGUUUAAAGGGUGCGUAGGCGGCCUUUUAAGUCAGCGGUGAAAGUCUGUGGCUCAACCCUAGAAUUGCCGUUGAAACUGGGAGGCUUGUGUACAGUUGAGGUAGGCGGAAUUCGUGGUGUAGCGGU